GUUAGGUGUGGUGGCACAGCCUGUAAUCCUAGCUACUUUGGAGGCUGAGGCAGGAGGAUCACAAGUUUGAGGCCAGCUUAUGAAAUGUAGUGAGACCCUGUCUCAA
rnacentral:sRNA from 1 species